UGGAAGCUCCCUUCCAGCUUCAAGUCUUCCCGCCUUUGCUUGAGUUGUCCCACCUUUCCAGACCAAACCAAUGUUCAUCUUGCAUAUAUUGAUUAACACCUCAUGUCUCCCUAAAACGUACAAAACCAAACUGUGCUCUGACCACCUUGGGCACAUGUCGUCAGGACCUCCUGAGGUGUGUCACAGGCACGUGUCCUCAACUUUGGCAAAAUAAACUUUCUAAAUUACCUGAAACCUGUCUCAGAUUUUCAGGGUUGACAUUUUGGUAACCACAGAGGGAUUCUGAGUAGAGGUACCCCUGACCUUUGACAAAUCUAUCAGUGCUUAGUACCAGCAUGAGCUAAUUUUAUGGCUCAAACCAACAGGACAAUUUGCUGAGGUCUGGGAGUACACCCUCCAGAGAAUCCCUGAUCUCCCCAAAUCUGGUCAAAAUCUAAAGUUUAUUUUGCUGUAGAACUCCCCCCACCUUUUUGUUUUUUGGAGUUUUACUUGAUUCCAACAAGGAAUGCAAGAUUUCCUGUUUCCAUGACGAUGGAAGGCAGGUAACUCCUUUAUGGAGUUUGAGCUCACUCCCAGCAGGGAAUAUGAGUUUAACAUUUUUUGUUGUUUUUUUCCUCCUGCUUCUAGAGCGGUAGAAAGCAGUCUUUAGCCUGAGACCCAUCCCUAGGCCCCAUAGAAGAUGCCAAUCAAAAUAAACUGCAUUCCUGAGACACAGGCCAGAAAUUAAAGCUAUUCAACUCCUCAACGCCAAGGGACUACUGUGGAACAGAUCCUGAAUUCCAGCUGAAGAGUUGACAUCAACCAGUUUGAAGCCUCCCUUCCCCCCGAAGAGGAACAAAAUCAGCAUGAGAAUACUGU
rnacentral:lncRNA from 1 species